GUCUCAUAUAUAUGCUAAUUCAAAGAUUAGAGAAGUGGAAAAUAAGAGAUGGUGGUAUGAUACAGUGGCUUGGAUAAUUUGGUUAGUUUUAGCUCAAACAAUCUGUAUUUUUGGUGUGGCUGAUAUAAGGCCUUAAUAGAGAACACAGGCUAUUCAGGAAAAAAAAUAUGUGCUGUGUAUAUACAUGUGUACGCACGCUUGCGCAUAUGCACGCAGCAAUGCCAAGUAUUGCACCCACGCUGGUAGCUGGGGAAGUCCCAUGGUCUGCUCUGCUCAGGAGGUUGCUAGGUGGUCAUAAUGUCUUUCACGGUGUUCAUUGGAAGAAGGCUAUCUAAGUAAACAAGCUAAGGUGAAGACUGGGGGGAAAAAUAUAUAUAUAUUUUUAAUUUUAAAUUUCUGCUUAUAGUUAUUAGUUUCUAGGAACAUCUGGUUUCCCCUUUCCUUUGCUGCAAGAACACAGAAAUGUGACUACACUGACAGUAAAAGUUAUUUGAUUUUUUCCAAUAGCCUAAACAGGGAAAUUUCCUCAGUUGUGUCAUUGCUGUUACGUGACAAUGUCCUUCCAAUCCUUCUGUCCUGCUGAGGCUUGCUUAGCUAACUGUCCAAUCUUUCUUCAGCAAUCUUAGAGGGAGGAAAAAAAAAAAAGGCUCCCAAAUUCAAGGGAAACAUUAGGACCAGAUCUUACUACGAUAUGGAGGCUUUGGAGGAUGCUGCUGUGCCAGCUUUUAUUGUUGUCCCAUCUGCCAAGAUAUUCACUGGCUUGCUUUUGUUUUUUGUUCAUGUGGGGCUUUUCAAAGUAGCCCUUGUCCCAGCUCUGGUAGAAGUGAAUGGGAUGGUGUGUGCAGUGAUUUUCCCUUCCUGGUGGCCUGCAUCUUGCUGAGCUUUGCUUGCGUGAAGGAAAAUGUCAACAUUUGUAGAACUAGAUUGGAGUCCUUUCUAGAUGGUGAUGAAUGGAAAAGAGCUAUUAAAGAAAUUACUUUGCUUUUAGUAAAUGGGCAUAACAAAUUAAUCCUUGUUCAUAAUCCCUGGCUCGCUCUUCAGGAAGAUGCCUGUGCUGUUACCAAGCAAGCAGGAAUUCUAUCCGUGCUCUUUGAAUGCGCCCGACUCUGGGUAUAAUUGAUUCCCUUCUGUUCCUUCCUAGCAAUCCUACAGAGACUGUACGGUUACGUACUCUCUCAACAGUUUGAAAGGAUAGGAUUUCCCUUAGGAGGGAUCAGAUGAUUAGCUUAUAAAUAGUAAAUGCCUGUUCAGGCCUACUUUAGAGUGCAUGUUAUUUGGUUUCUGUCUUGCUCUCUGCGCUGCUGCUAAGUCUUCACAACAAAUAUAACCUCAUCUGGCACCUCAAGGUGCAGAGCCAAGCCCAAGAAAAAAAGGUGUACUUUUCAUCAGAGAUAAUGAAUUUCAGUGAGCUUCAGAGCCUUUGAGAAAGGAAACAGUCCUGGUGCUAGUUGCUACUGUACUGGGCUAUGAUUAUACCCCAGGGAGGAGUGUGAUUAUUUGCCUGUGCAGGAAAACUAGCUCGACUAACUGGGAGCAUGAGUUCAAAAUGAAACUGAAACACAUUCAGUGGUUGAAUUCCUUUGGAGAUGAGCCUCUUUUCCUGCUAGAAAACCUCCGCCAGUGCCAGGGAAGUCCUUCUCUUUAAACCUAAAAAAUAAGUUCUUGGAGUUCUCUAUGGAGCAACAUUCCCCCCCCCCCCAAAUAAAUAAAUAAAUAAAUAAAU
ensembl:lncRNA